rnacentral:rRNA from 1 species
CCGUACACAAAAGCGCAUGUGCUGUGAGCUCGAUGAGUAGGGCGGGACACGUGGUAUCCUGUCUGAAUAUGGGGGGACCAUCCUCCAAGGCUAAAUACUCCUGACUGACCGAUAGUGAACCAGUACCGUGAGGGAAAGGCGAAAAGAACCCCGGCGAGGGGAGUGAAAAAGAACCUGAAACCGUGUACGUACAAGCAGUGGGAGCACAGGUUUACCUGUGUGACUGCGUACCUUUUGUAUAAUGGGUCAGCGACUUAUAUUCUGUAGCAAGGUUAACCGAAUAGGGGAGCCGGAGGGAAACCGAGUCUUAAUUGGGCGUUAAGUUGCAGGGUAUAGACCCGAAACCCGGUGAUCUAGCCAUGGGCAGGUUGAAGGUUGGGUAACACUAACUGGAGGACCGAACCGACUAAUGUUGAAAAAUUAGCGGAUGACCUGUGGCUGGGGGUGAAAGGCCAAUCAAACCGGGAGAUAGCUGGUUCUCCCCGAAAGCUAUUUAGGUAGCGCCUCGUGAAUUCAUCUCCGGGGGUAGAGCACUGUUUCGGCUAGGGGGCCAUCCCGGCUUACCAACCCGAUGCAAACUGCGAAUACCGGAGAAUGUUAUCACGGGAGACACACGGCGGGUGCUAACGUCCGUCGUGAAGAGGGAAACAACCCAGACCGCCAGCUAAGGUCCCAAAGUCAUGGUUAAGUGGGAAACGAUGUGGGAAGGCCCAGACAGCCAGGAUGUUGGCUUAGAAGCAGCCAUCAUUUAAAGAAAGCGUAAUAGCUCACUGGUCGAGUCGGCCUGCGCGGAAGAUGUAACGGGGCUAAACCAUGCACCGAAGCUGCGGCAGCGAACGUAUCACUUAAAGCGAUUCAGCGGGUUACGAUUGACGGAGCGAAGCGACGUCAAAGCGUAUACAAAGUCGAGUCGGUUUAAGGAUACGUUCGUUGGGUAGGGGAGCGUUCUGUAAGCCCGUGAAGGUGGCCUGUGAGGGUUGCUGGAGGUAUCAGAAGUGCGAAUGCUGACAUAAGUAACGAUAAAGCGGGUGAAAAGCCCGCUCGCCGGAAGACCAAGGGUUCCUGUCCAACGUUAAUCGGGGCAGGGUGAGUCGACCCCUAAGGCGAGGCCGAAAGGCGUAGUCGAUGGGAAACGGGUUAAUAUUCCCG